CGGUUUUUUCCUGCCGGGAGAAUAGGGAAGUUGGGUGAAAAUCCCGCGCGGUCGCGCCGCUGUAAAGGAAGAGUCGCAUUGGCUGACAUCACUGUGGAAAUGGGAAGAUGGAAUGCGAUGAAGAGACCUGAGCCAGAAGACCUGCCUGAUGAUAU
rnacentral:ncRNA from 1 species